GAGAGCUGGUAGUAAUUCGUGUCGCUAGGGGACCACAAAGUGGCUGCACUUUGGAGAGUCUCCUGGCUGCUGAGAAGGUGGACAAAGGGCAAUCAAGACAAUAAACGGACCACUCACUAGAUCACAAAGAAUAUGUCCAUUCAGAAGCACAGGCUGUUGGCACACUGCACCGUACUUGUUAACCACUCCAGGCAAAGAAAGAGCCACUCAUUCUGAUUAGCUGUCAGGACUGAUUUUAAGCCAUGCUAUUAUAUGGUGAAGAGGAAAAAGGAAAUCCAAGGGAACUGUACUUAAGGCCAGUGCCUAAUCAGGUUUUUUCCCCUUCAUCUAUUUCAUACAAAAGCUGCCUGGAAUUACCAUUGUGAACCAUUUCAUUCCUCCCUUCAAGUGCUAAUUAAAUGUGAAAUUUUAAAAUAUAUACUCCUCUCUCCAGGUGGAACAAACUGAG